rnacentral:rRNA from 1 species
AGUGAACGCUGGCGGUAGGCCUAACACAUGCAAGUCGAACGGCAGCACAGUAAGAGCUUGCUCUUACGGGUGGCGAGUGGCGGACGGGUGAGGAAUACAUCGGAAUCUACUUUUUCGUGGGGGAUAACGUAGGGAAACUUACGCUAAUACCGCAUACGACCUACGGGUGAAAGCAGGGGAUCUUCGGACCUUGCGCGAUUGAAUGAGCCGAUGUCGGAUUAGCUAGUUGGCGGGGUAAAGGCCCACCAAGGCGACGAUCCGUAGCUGGUCUGAGAGGAGGAUCAGCCACACUGGAACUGAGACACGGUCCAGAGUCCUACGGGAGGCAGCAGUGGGGAAUAUUGGACAAUGGGCGCAAGCCUGAUCCAGCCAUACCGCGUGGGUGAAGAAGGCCGUCGGGUUGGAAAGCCCUUUUGUUGGGAAAGAAAAGCAGCAGGUUAAUACCCCGCUGUUCUGACGGUACCCAAAGAAUAAGCACCGGCUAACUUCGUG